GAGUUUGAUCCUGGCUCAGAUUGAACGCUGGCGGCAGGCCUAACACAUGCAAGUCGAACGGUAACAGGAAACAGCUUGCUGUUUCGCUGACGAGUGGCGGACGGGUGAGUAAUGUCUGGGAAACUGCCUGAUGGAGGGGGAUAACUACUGGAAACGGUAGCUAAUACCGCAUAACGUCGCAAGACCAAAGAGGGGGACCUUCGGGCCUCUUGCCAUCAGAUGUGCCCAGAUGGGAUUAGCUAGUAGGUGGGGUAACGGCUCACCUAGGCGGCGAUCCCUAGCUGGUCUGAGAGGAUGACCAGCCACACUGGAACUGAGACACGGUCCAGACUCCUACGGGAGGCAGCAGUGGGGAAUAUUGCACAAUGGGCGCAAGCCUGAUGCAGCCAUGCCGCGUGUAUGAAG
rnacentral:rRNA from 1 species